AUGGAGAGUUUGAUCCUGGCUCAGGACGAACGCUGGCGGCGUGCUUAACACAUGCAAGUCGAACGGAAAGGCCUGCUUUCCCUUGUGGAUUGCGGGUGCUCGAGUGGCGAACGGGUGAGUAACACGUGAGUGAUCUGCCCCCAACUUGGGUAUAAGCCUGGGAAACUGGGUCUAAUUCCCGAUAGGACUGCAGGGUGGUGCCUGUGGUGGAAAACGAUUUUCUAGUGGUUGGGGAUGAGCUCGCGGCCUAUCAGCUUGUUGGUGGGGUAAUGGCCUACCAAGGCGGCGACGGGUAGCCGGCCUGAGAGGGUGGACGGCCACAUUGGGACUGAGAUACGGCCCAGACUCCUACGGGAGGC
rnacentral:rRNA from 1 species